rnacentral:rRNA from 1 species
UACGGGGGGAGCAAGCGUUGUUCGGAUUUACUGGGCGUAAAGGGCGCGUAGGCGGCCAGCACAAGUCAGUUGUGAAAUCUCCGAGCUUAACUCGGAAAGGUCAACUGAUACUGUGCGGCUAGAGUGCGGAAGGGGCAACUGGAAUUCUUGGUGUAGCGGUGAAAUGCGUAGAUAUCGGGAGGAACACCAGUGGCGAAGGCGGUUACCUGGACCGAGAUUGACGCUGAGGCGCGAAAGCUAGGGUAGCAAACGGG